UCUUAUGAUGUUAGCGGCGGACGGGUGAGUAACACGUGGGUAACCUGCCCAUAAGACUGGGAUAACUCCGGGAAACCGGGGCUAAUACCGGAUAACAUUUUGAACCGCAUGGUUCGAAAUUGAAAGGCGGCUUCGGCUGUCACUUAUGGAUGGACCCGCGUCGCAUUAGCUAGUUGGUGAGGUAACGGCUCACCAAGGCAACGAUGCGUAGCCGACCUGAGAGGGUGAUCGGCCACACUGGGACUGAGACACGGCCCAGACUCCUACGGGAGGCAGCAGUAGGGAAUCUUCCGCAAUGGACGAAAGUCUGACGGAGCAACGCCGCGUGAGUGAUGAAGGCUUUCGGGUCGUAAAACUCUGUUGUUAGGGAAGAACAAGUGCUAGUUGAAUAAGCUGGCACCUUGACGGUACCUAACCAGAAAGCCACGGCUAACUACGUGCCAGCAGCCGCGGUAAUACGUAGGUGGCAAGCGUUAUCCGGAAUUAUUGGGCGUAAAGCGCGCGCAGGUGGUUUCUUAAGUCUGAUGUGAAAGCCCACGGCUCAACCGUGGAGGGUCAUUGGAAACUGGGAGACUUGAGUGCAGAAGAGGAAAGUGGAAU
rnacentral:rRNA from 1 species